GAGACACACUACAACAGGAGAGGGAGCAAGCGCGAGAGGAUAUUAGAAGAGAGGCUUGUCUCCAAGAUAUGGAAGGAAGUGAGAAAUGACAGGGCUGCAAGCUUUGUAUGUAGGAGCCCGGCAGGGCGGGGGAGCGGCGAGGAGAGCCAAGUGGAUUCUCAGAAAAGGGGGGAAGCCAUCGAAGAGCUAAAGGUGAUUAGAGGGGGAUAUUGAUUUCUUAUUCUGCCAGAGAUUUAAGCAGGCAUGCGAGGAAUCUGCACCAUGGUUGGCAAAAAGAGACCCGUUGCCUCCUGUAACCAGACACUCAGGCUUUCCAGGAGCCCAGGGAGCAAGCCGAGAAGAAAGGGGGCAGUGUGGUCUAGGAAAAUUCAACUUGUCGCUGAUUUGUGCCUGAUGCCUGCUGUCCGUCAGCAGCCUCCCUUACAAUCUUUUUUUCUCUCUCUCCUUUUUUUUUCCUUGCCUUCUCCUUCUUCACUGAAGCCUAGGGGAGCCAGUAAAGAUUAAAUGUGCUUCUCAAAGGCAGCCACUUCAUGCUGCUAUGUCGAAAGGGCCAUUAUUAUUAUUAUAUUUUAAUGGUAAAAGAGAAAAGGAGAGAGGUUGAGCGAGCGAGAGAGAAGCUAGGUGUGAUGAUGACAGACUAGCUUUUCUGAGAGGAAAAGGAAAAGGGAAGGGAGAGAAAAAGGAGAGCCUCUGAGCUCAACGGAGGAUUGUGCCUGAGAAGAACCCACAGAGGAAAGCCCCACUUCCAGUCUGAUGAGGAAAGCGACAAUCUAUCAGGUACAGAACCAGGGGCUGUCUGCGAAGAUGGAGGGGAAUUAUGCUUCGGAUUCCUCUGAAAUAUUGGCCAAAGGCUUCAAAGAAUCCGCAGCGGGAGGUGCGGGGGGAAUGUCUCUCCCCAGCCCGCACCCAGCCCUUCCCACUUCGUGUCUACCAAAUGACAGCCUGGUGCUCGCUCUUGGUGAUUUGGCCUUGACUUCAGCCAAGCAGCUGAUGCAGACGAAGCCUCCGUUUGCAGGACUGGCAAAGUGCACGCUAAAGAAAGAAGGAAGAAAUUUUUCAAAAAGCAGCUCUGGGGAGGUUUCAUACUCCCCCCCCCCCCCCGCCUUUUUUUAAUUUUUAAGUGAAUAUUUUCCAAAUUUGAUCAGUUCCAGCCCCUCCCUCCACUCCCACCCAACUGCCCUUUUUUCUCUCGUCAAAGCAUAAGCUACAGAGUUACAGUCUCGAGAUUUGGUGUAUCGCUUCCUGCCCCCGCCUCCCCUCCCCGCCCCCGUUCUCCGUCCUCUAUUGAAACACCUCGCCCAGCCUAGCGCACUGAGAGCUCUCAUUUUCCCCCCUUGCUCGGGAUGGUGCCACAGGAGGCUGUGCGGGCCCCGCUCCGCUUCGAAUGGUUGUGUUGAUGUUCCUUUCAGCUGGUCCUAUAGUACCCCUCCUCAGGAAUGUCUCCCCAGUGCAAGGACAAAGACUGAAGAGACUGCUAUAUUGAUGGACUCUCAAGCCAACUAUGAAGUUGAAACAAAGAAAGUGAUCACCUGAAGACACCUCCUCUGCUAAGAAACACCCCCAAAUUGUGCAGCUUCUGCCACUAGAACUCUCAGAACAAGAGACAAUCUUUUCAAGAAACAGAAAAACUCAAUAAUGACAUCUAGAUUUUCAUGAGCCAAGAACUUUCCCUUCCUCAUGUGUAUUCCUCUGUUUGUACUUAAAUUCAUGUGACAUUCAUUUUUUUCCUAGUAUGGAUAUGCUUAUUAAUGCACUUGUUUCAAAAUCCCAAAUUGCACAAAUGUGUUAAUAUUUUAAGAAACAAAAUGAAUCCUACAAGGAGAAUGAUUUUUAGCCACACAUAGGGUUGGAUCUUGAGAGUGACCUACAGAAUAAAAGUACUUUUAAAAUAAAGUAGUCAGAGGCUAUUCAAAGGGUAAAAUAAUCAUAGUACCACAUUGGUCCACUUGACACUAACCAAUCGAUCAUUUUUUUUUAAUCAAGAAAGCUAGAUUCUAUCAGAUAAAAUCACUGCUUCUAAAGAGUUUAAAUCUAGUUAGAAAAAGUUAUAGAAAUGUUUGCAAAGAUAAGUAACAGAUAGAGUCAGUAGAGGAUAAGAUCAAAAACAAAACCAAGCAAAAGAUGAGUUCAGGGGAGUUUGCCAUCAAGUUGGCAAAACUGACUUACUUAGGGAAGAAAGUUAUAAAACAGGAAAAUAUGAGAUGAACCUUGAGUGAUGUGGAAGAUUUAGAUAAAUGGAAAGGAAGGAGAAAAUGGAGUUCUUUAGGUGGUUGUAAUUGGAGGAGGAAAUGAAUACACACAUCUUGUUGACUUAAACCCAGACAUUCAGCAGCUCUCUAUACAUAUCUGGAAAAGACUGCACAGUCACCUCCUGUCUCUCACCCCAGGUAUUACUUAGAAUUAUUAUCAUAUUUCCCUUCCUUUAAAGUAAGUAAGGGUGAUUGGUGACAAUAUGGAGAACUAUGAUUUUUCCAUUAACCUAAUAAUAAUUGGUAUUUAUUGAGUUCUGUUAAGCAUUUUACAUAUUAACUCACUUAAGCCUUUCAACAGCCUUGCAAAAUAGGUAUUAUUAUCCCCAUUUUACAGGCAAGAAAACUGAGGUUUAAGUAACUUGCCGAAGUGCCAUAUACAGGGCUCACAUUCAGUAUUGCAGUUGCAAAGCUCAUGAUCUAUAGUGCCAAGUUGCAAUAUUGUAGUCAAUGUCACAAUUAUUACCCCUUUUUAUAUUCCUUGAUAUUUUUCCAUGGCAAACAAUUAGCUAUUUCAUUUAAUAAUCACCUAAAACUUUUCAGUCUUCUGAUUAAAAUUACGCUGGAGUGAUAGAAUGUAUUUUCAUGAUAGAAAUUGGGAAAAAAAAUGGGGAAUGAAGUUUAUCAGCAUUUCAGACUUGUUUUUUUUUUUUUUUUUUGCAAGACUUUGAUGAGAUUGUUCACUUUUGUCUAUGUAAAAUCCCAAAUCCUUGAGAAUAAAAAAGGGGGAGGUUUAAGUCACUUGUUGCAAUGCCCUUUUUAAUAGAGGCAAUAAAUCUAAAGGCCAUAAAUUUAGAGUGACUUACAGAAGAUCGAACUUUGGAGUGUGGCAGAGUAAGGGAUGGAAACCGGGCCCUCCAGUUCACUAUCAGUAGCUUUUGCACUGGUCUGCCCUUCCUAAAUUAAGUAUGCACUUCAAUUUGAUGAGUGGAAACAGUCUAUCUGGGCAGUAACCAGGGAGCUUUGUGCCUAGUAGAUUGCUUCUGUUCUGCACUUCUUUGGUUUCCCACCUCAAUGUAAAAAAUAGCUAGCAAUGAAGUCCAGAAGUUGUCAAUGGUUCAUCCCCAGAAGAAUGCAUAAUGUCCAAAGUUGUAUGUGUAUGAUGUCUUCAAUGGUAUUAAGUUAUUUCAAAUUCUUAGUUCACCUACAUAAAUCAUUUCUAACAAGCAUCUUCUUAACCAACUUUAUGCACAGUGUAUGUUUGUAAGUGCUUCUGCACGAAUGUUUAUACAUGACUGUUUCCAUAGUACUUAUGUUUUUAAAAAUAUUCAGUCAUUUCCUACUAUAAUCCUCAUGUAUCCAUGUAACUGACUCAAAAAUACUUCAGCCACAGAAAGCUAAAACUGAGCAAAUCUCAUUCUUCUUUUCCAUCCCCUUUGCAUGUGGCUGGCAUUUAGUAAUGAUUAAUAAUAUGGCCAGCUGAAUAACAGAGGUUUGAGACACAAUUCUUUCUCAAAGGAGUCAGCUAAGCUGGGUCUACUUAUGGACAAACAUCUAAAUGUGUGGAAGUAUCUGAUAUUUGACAAUGGUAAAUUUCCACUUAGCUAGCUAGCAUUGUCAGACUUCAAUCUCCUCAUGGCUCUGGCCGUCCUGUUUUAAGCAUGAUAAUUGUUGGCCACAUCUCACAUAGUUCUCAUUGAGUGAGUUCAUAAAUAAACAGGGUUUUUUUUUUUUUUUAAAGAGCAGCCAAGCACAAAGUGUGACUUUGUUGACAUUUUAUGUGACUUUGUCAUAUGUUCCUAACCCCCAAUAAAAGCAAUGUUGCAUCAACUGUGAA
rnacentral:lncRNA from 1 species